UGGGGAAUUUUGGACAAUGGGCGAAAGCCUGAUCCAGCAAUGCCGCGUGUGUGAAGAAGGCCUUCGGGUUGUAAAGCACUUUUGUCCGGAAAGAAAUCCUUGGCUCUAAUACAGUCGGGGGAUGACGGUACCGGAAGAAUAAGCACCGGCUAACUACGUGCCAGCAGCCGCGGUAAUACGUAGGGUGCAAGCGUUAAUCGGAAUUACUGGGCGUAAAGCGUGCGCAGGCGGUUUGCUAAGACCGAUGUGAAAUCCCCGGGCUCAACCUGGGAACUGCAUUGGUGACUGGCAGGCUAGAGUAUGGCAGAGGGGGGUAGAAUUCCACGUGUAGCAGUGAAAUGCGUAGAGAUGUGGAGGAAUACCGAUGGCGAAGGCAGCCCCCUGGGCCAAUACUGACGCUCAUGCACGAAAGCGUGGGGAGCAAACAGGAUUAGAUACCCUGGUAGUCCACGCCCUAAACGAUGUCAACUAGUUGUUGGGGAUUCAUUUCCUUAGUAACGUAGCUAACGCGUGAAGUUGACCGCCUGGGGGAGUACGGUCGCAAGAUUAAAACUUAAAUGAAUUGACGGGGUCAUAGCUG
rnacentral:rRNA from 1 species